GUAGGUGGCAAGCGUUGUCCGGAAUUAUUGGGCGUAAAGCGCGCGCAGGCGGUUCUUUAAGUCUGAUGUGAAAGCCCACGGCUCAACCGUGGAGGGUCAUUGGAAACUGGAGAACUUGAGUACAGAAGAGGAAAGCGGAAUUCCACGUGUAGCGGUGAAAUGCGUAGAGAUGUGGAGGAACACCAGUGGCGAAGGCGGCUUUCUGGUCUGUAACUGACGCUGAGGCGCGAAAGCGUGGGGGAGCAAACAGGAUUAGAUACCCUGGUAGUCCGCGCCGUAAACGAUGAGUGCUAAGUGUUAGGGGGUUUCCGCCCCUUAGUGCUGCAGCUAACGCAUUAAGCACUCCGGCCUGGGAGUACGGCCGCAAGGCUG
rnacentral:rRNA from 1 species